rnacentral:rRNA from 1 species
CCUACGGGGGGCAGCAGUGGGGAAUAUUGGACAAUGGGGGCAACCCUGAUCCAGCCAUGCCGCGUGUGUGAAGAAGGCCCUCGGGUUGUAAAGCACUUUCAGUGAGGAAGAACGCCUGGUGGUUAAUACCCAUCAGGAAAGACAUCACUCACAGAAGAAGCACCGGCUAACUCCGUGCCAGCAGCCGCGGUAAUACGGAGGGUGCGAGCGUUAAUCGGAAUUACUGGGCGUAAAGCGCGCGUAGGUGGCUUGAUAAGCCGGUUGUGAAAGCCCCGGGCUCAACCUGGGAACGGCAUCCGGAACUGUCAAGCUAGAGUGCAGGAGAGGAAGGUAGAAUUCCCGGUGUAGCGGUGAAAUGCGUAGAGAUCGGGAGGAAUACCAGUGGCGAAGGCGGCUUUCUGGACUGACACUGACACUGAGGUGCGAAAGCGUGGGUAGCAAACAGGAUUAGAUACCCCGGUAGUC